ACCGUGUGUUUUUUUUCUUCGUGCGAGGCAGAGAAGCCUUAUGACUAAAGUAACGUCAGAUCAAGGGACGAAAAUAAACAAGAAGAGCAAGACAAUGGAAAACAGGAAGGAAAUGCAUGUAUGGAUCAUUUGAUUCAUACGGGAAAUCUACCACGACAAGGCUAGGAAUGGUCUCCUUCGAUGAUUAAAGACUCAAAGAUGUCCGUAAGGGCUACUUUUAUGAUUUCCAUGUUGAAAUGAUCCUGCUGCAGAUCUUGUAGGAGUAAGGGAGAAAAGGCAGCUGGGCAUGUGGAGGUAGCAUCAGGAAAAAAGUAAGUUAUCUAGAGUUUGGUGCAACUAUAAUAGGGACUAAGACCUUAACAAACCACUAUGGCAGUGACAACGAGGAUGUGACAAAAAGAAACCUACUGGACAGAACAAUAACUCAGCACUUGUGUUAGAAAACUUUUUACACUUCUUAGUUGUCCUCUGCAAAACAUCAUCAUGAAAGCAUCAAAAUUUUUGUGGUCUGAGAACCAAAACCCAACAACAAAUUACUCAAGUUUUCAUUUGCUGCUCAGGGAA